GAUGAAGAACGCAGUGAAAUGCGAUAAGUAAUGUGAAUUGCAGAAUUCAGUGAAUCAUCGAAUCUUUGAACGCACAUUGCGCCCCUUGGUAUUCCGAGGGGCAUGCCUAUUCGAGCGUCAUUAUCACCCCUCAAGCCUAGCUUGGUGUUGAGGCCUGCUGUCAAGGCAGCCUCUAAAAUCAGUGGCAGUGCUGUCAGGCUCUAAGCGUAGUAAAUCUAAUCGCUAUAGACACCUGGUGGACACUCGCCAGAACCCCCCCAUUUUUAAAUGAUUGACCUCGGAUUAGGUAGGGAUACCCGCUGAACUUAAGCAUAUCAAUAAGCGGAGGA
rnacentral:misc_RNA from 1 species